rnacentral:sRNA from 1 species
GUAUCUGAAGCCUGACGAGGAUUAGAACCUCCGGGGGCAAGAGGUUCGACUCGAGCGAAGCGAGAGAACGUUGCGUCAGCAACGGCCCGCAGUGGCAAGUCAUCCUCUGUCACCGGCAG